rnacentral:rRNA from 1 species
UGAUCAUGGCUCAGAAUGAACGCUGGCGGCACGCUUAACACAUGCAAGUCGAACGAGAUCUUCGGAUCUAGUGGCAGACGGGUGAGUAACGCGUGGGAACCUGCCCUUUAGUAGAGAAUAACUCGGGGAAACUCGAGCUAAUACUUUAUACGCCCUUCGGGGGAAAGCUUUAUGCGCUAUUGGAUGGGCCCGCGUUAGAUUAGUUUGUUGGUGAGGUAACGGCUCAUCAAGGCGACGAUCUAUAGCUGGUCUGAGAGGAUGAUCAGCCACACUGGGACUGAGACACGGCCCAGACUCCUACGGGAGGCAGCAGUGGGGAAUAUUGGACAAUGGGGGAAACCCUGAUCCAGCGAUGCCGCGUGAGUGAUGAAGGCCCUAGGGUUGUAAAGCUCUUUUGUCAGGGAAGAUAAUGACGGUACCUGAAGAAUAAGAUCCGGCUAACUCCGUGCCAGCAGCCGCGGUAAUACGGAGGGAUCUAGCGUUAUUCGGAAUUACUGGGCGUAAAGCGAGCGUAGGCUGAUUUGUAAGUUGGAUGUGAAAUCCCAGAGCUUAACUCUGGAACUGCAUCCAAAACUAUUUUUCUUGAGUUUGGUAGAGGAGAGUGGAAUUCCUAGUGUAGAGGUGAAAUUCGUAGAUAUUAGGAGGAACACCAGUGGCGAAGGCGACUCUCUGGGCCAAUACUGACGCUGAGGUUCGAAAGCGUGGGUAGCGAACAGGAUUAGAUACCCUGGUAGUCCACGCAGUAAACGAUGAAUGCUAGAUGUUGGAAACAUUAGUUUUCAGUAUCGCAGCUAACGCAUUAAGCAUUCCGCCUGGGAAGUACGGCCGCAAGGCUAAAACUCAAAUGAAUUGACGGGGACCCGCACAAGCGGUGGAUCAUGUGGUUUAAUUCGAAGCAACGCGAAGAACCUUACCGGCCCUUGACAUACCAAUCGCGAACUUAAGAGAUUAAGUUUUUCACUUCGGGUGGAUUGGAUACAGGUGCUGCAUGGCUGUCGUCAGCUCGUGUCGUGAGAUGUUGGGUUAAGUCCCGCAACGAGCGCA